CACCUGGGCAAAAAAGGGGUGGAGCCUGGCUCCAGCCCUCCCCACCCUCGUUUAAGGGCUGCCUGUCUAAGGGGAAGAAUCUCUACUGGCAGAUCUGCUCUGUGCUAAUACUUCCUGAGUCCUGUUCUUCAGAAAGGGCUCUUUGUUUACUAGCUUGAGUCCUUCCCCACUCAUAGGAAAAUUAAAACACAGGAAAGCAGCUGGAUCAGCUACUGCCUUUCACUACAGUUACCAUUUUAGGUUAUGGAUCAAGGUUGAACUGUACAGAGAGAGUGCAGCCACAAGGCUCUGGCUGUGCCGGGCCUCCCACCAGCCUGGGCCCCAAAGCAGCCCCAACUGUGCCUGGGUCUCCUCCAUCCUGGGCCCCAAAGCAGCCCCAACUGUGCCUGCUCCUCCUCCAUCCUGGGCCCCAAAGCAGCCCCAACUGUGCCUGCUCCUCCUCCAUCCUAGGCCCCAAAGCAGCCCCAACUGCGCCCGGUCCUCCUCCAUCCUGGGCCCCAAAGCAGCCCCAACUGUGCCUGGUCCUGCUUCAUCCUGGGCACCAAGAGCCUGGCUGUGCCGGGGCUCCCUUUGGUCUGGGCCAAGAGCAGGCCUCAACUGUGCCAGGCCCCCCUCCAGCCCAGGCCCCAAAGCAGCCCCAACUGUGCCAGGCACCUUUCCAGCUCGGGCCCCAAGGCAGCCCCAACUGUGCCUGGUCCUCCUCCAUCCUGGGCCCCAAGGCAGCCCCAACUGUGCCUGGUCCUCCUCCAUCCUGGGCCCCAAGGCCCAGGCUGUGCCGGGGCUCCCUUUGGUCUGGGAAAAGAGCAGGCCUCAACUGUGCCAGGCCCCCCUCCAGCCCAGGCCCCAAAGCAGCCCCAACUGUGCCUGCUCCUCCUCC
ensembl:lncRNA